rnacentral:lncRNA from 1 species
CCCCUUGAUUUUUGGUUGUCAAUCCCAGUUACAGUAGGAUUCUCUAUUUUAAAUCUCAAGAACGCGCCUUUUUCAAGCAAGUUGUCGCACAUGACGUAAGCCUUGGCUAAGGCUUGGUUGAGUGUGAAUUAGGCUUCCUUCUUGUUGUCUAUGUGUUAGUUAUGCGCAAGAGUUAACUGUACUUCUUCCUCUUACUAAGAUGUAAGCCUUGACCGAGGCUUAUUUGAGCGAACCCACGAGUUGUAAUCCCACUAAUACCUUAGCCUUUCUUGAGGCUUGAAUGAGCGAGAACCAGAAUCUAAUGUUGGUUGCUGGGCCUAGGCCUUGGCCAAGGUUUAUUCCUAGUAUGAUAUCUUUUUCGCAAAUUCUUUGCUGCGUUCCUUUAUUUUGCCCCCGUUUUCUAUCCUGUAUCAAAGUGGAUGGAAUAACUUAAAUUAGAUAGUAAUUAUUCCAAUUUAAGUACCUAAAACUUGACAAUGAAGAUGAUGUUUUUACACACCAACAAACUCUCUAUCUUGUGCUUGCCCUCAAGCACUUCACAAUACAAAUCUCUAAUUCCCAACCCUUCACUUUCAACCAAACUAUUCUCAGUAAUUUCAUUACAUUUUGAUCUAUUACAUCUUGGCUUUCAAAUUAGGACAACCAUCAAUUAGGAGUUCAUAGAAUAGAUUUUCAUACAGCCACACAAAUGAACAACUAUUUUAACCAAUAUCUAGACACAACAUGAGAGCUUUGUAAAUUUUUGGCACAAAAGUUUUUCAUUUAGAGAAACAGCCAAUACUCAAUAGAACAGUCACCAAACCUAUCUAGAUAUAAAGAUUCCAUGCAAUUGGUUCAUGCUAAAAACAGAAAAUUUAUUUAUAGCUAACAUGAACACUUUUGCUUACUUGAAUUGUCAUUAACAUUUUGAGAUAAGGGCAAACAUUUGUGAUGAAUGCACUCGGUUACUUAUUUGGUCAUAGUUUUAAGUGGGUACUAGCACUACUCAAAGUCAUUCGACUUGAAAUGUUACUAACCUUUUGAUGUGAAGACAAACAUUUAUGAUGAAUGCACCCGAUUACUCAGUUAGUCACAGUUUCAGGUGACUAGAGGAGUAGAUUAUUUGUGCUCUUUUUUCUCUUUGGUUUGUUUGUUUUUUUUUUUUUUUUUGAAGUCCUAGACAUGUCAUAGAAUUCUAGACAUACAAAUCCAGACAAGUUUUAAUGGAGUUCUUUCUAAGCAUUAACAUUCACUCAAAAAUAAGGAAUUUUUGAUUUUUUUUAUGAUAAUCUCCAAACAAAUCAUAUUUAAGAUACACAAUCAAAGACAAUUUUUUUAUAGUGUGAAAGGAAGAAAGACAAGAUAUAAUAUGGUUGUAAUUUUUAAUUCGAUUUUUGAAAUAUCACAUUUGAGUUAUUUCAAAAUAAUUGAAAUAGUUGUGAAAAAGGUUGGGGUAAGAAUUGCCGAAAGUGUAUGUGGGUGUGAUUUGGGCAUGAAUAAGAAUGUGGGGUAGUGAGUGUUCAAAACAUGGCUAUCCUAAAAGCCUAAAGGUGCAGCAUAUAUCUAAACUCGUACCUAAACUACCCCACGCUUAAAUAACAUAUUGUCCUCAAUGUGAUGCAAGACAUGCAAUAAGCAAUCGAGAAAAUAAGCAAAAAAAAAAAAGAUCCACACAAAAUAAGAGAAAAAUGAAAAACAAAAAAAGGGAUAAAAUACUCCCCAAAAGGCUCAUUUGGUACGGGGUCGCAAUGGUGGGCAUCUUUUUUGGGUGAGUAACUAGGUCAGUACAUCAACUUUUUUAUUCAACUCUCGUGUUGAUUGCUAGAGAAAAUUCAUACAGUCAUCCAAACAAUAGAAUUGCAUGAGGAUGAAGUCCAUGAAUUCUUUCAACUCAGGUUGUGAAGGAUUGGGAACUGUAGGAUCUCAUUGCUCCUUUUUGCUGAAUAUGCACUAGUCUCUUAAGACGGGUGAGCCGGGAGAUGCAAAGUAGGGGGUGUCAUCUUUGAUCAAUAGCAAACCCAUCACAUCCAAAGAUCCUAAGUCUAGGGAUGCUUGUGGGCAUAAGACAUGCAAGUCACAGUCUGUGGGGUCAAAGCCAGUGAGGCUAAUAGCAAGCCGAGUGAUGACAGAUCCUAGGAUUAGUAGUCAGUGAAAAGAGAUGACACUGAAAAAUUGGGUGGCCAUCCAAAAGCCUAGGUUCACCCAUCUCUUAUGCACCAUGCACCAUAAGAAAUACAGCUCUAUUUUGGAUAAGAUAUUUAUUGCGUCCUUGCGACAGAAAAUGAAUAGGCUAAAAAGCGAUGGAUAUACUUCCUACUCGAUGCUCGUAAGUAGAGGUUUUUGAAUUUUUUGGGGUCAUAGAUGUCAAGUGGGUUAUUACAGAGCUCUUCAAAGACAGUGGCUGGGUUGAAAUCUUUAUUGAAAUCACAUAAUUGGUGUUUGAGAAAAGGGCCAGAGAAUCGUAGAGCAUUUUGGAACUAAGUGAGUGAAAAGUUGAACUGUUGGCCCAUCAACCAAAAAGAGACCACAUUUGGUGUCCUUAGAGUGAAAUCGGUACAUUUGUGAAAUUUAAAAGUGGAGUGGAAUUCGUAUACCAAUUCCACGUAUUUUAGUAGGGUGUUCUUAAAGUAAGGAGAGCAGCCAAUGUUGCUGAUUAGUUACAAAACUUCCUCUUUGAUGUUAAGGGUUUCCAAGGUAGAGAGGUGACAGCACUUAUUUGGCACUAUUGAGAGUUUAGAGACUUCCCUAUACCUUUUUUUCUCCAAUUCUUCGUGGAAUGUGAGGUGGCCACUCAGUUCAAACUCAUUGUGUGGAAGCACAUGCUUGCCCUUUUGGAUUCAUGUUCUUUUUCGUGUUUGAGCAACCUCAGCGUCAUCGGUGGUGGAUUCUUAUGAGUGGGUUAUUGCAAUUCUAGUUGUUCGAUGGUGUUGUUGGGUCCAAACUGUUGGCCAUCUGACCCUUUUGGUGGGGACUCAGGGAUGUCGAUGAUGGGAUUGCUUUAUGGAUGGUCUCGCUUUCCAUGGAGCUGCUCGUAGCAUGAGGUGGUUUUGGCUAUGUAGACUGGAGUGGUAGAUUUGGUGCUCUCUGUGAUGCUUGCACUGCCUCCAUCACGGCAUGUCGAGCGACAAAGGAGCGCCUAGGGUCACAGGACUUGCAAGCUUAUCUCUUUUACCACAUGGCUCUGGUGUUUACAGUUGUUCUUAGUUAGGAGUCUGAAGUUCGGGUUUAAAGAUCGGGGAAGAUUCAGAGAGGCUAGGACAAGGGUUCAGAGUCAUUGUGGGGAGGGUGGUUGUGGGCAAGGUUUUAGGGUUUUCAAUUAUAAAAUAGCUCUAGGUGUCAU